rfam:Capsicum annuum cultivar Zunla-1 chromosome 4, whole genome shotgun sequence
GCAAAAAUAGUUUAAUGGUAGAGCAUAGCUUUGCCAAGGCUGAGGUUGAAGGUUCAACUCCCUUCUUCCA